AUUGAACGCUGGCGGCAGGCCUAACACAUGCAAGUCGAACGAGUGGCGGACGGGUGGGUAAUGUCUGGGAAACUGCCUGAUGGAGGGGGAUAACUACUGGAAACCGUAGCUAAUACCGCAUACCAUCGGAUGUGCCCAGAUGGGAUUAGCUAGGGGGUGGGGUAACGGCGCACCUAGGCGACGAUCCCUAGCUGGGCUGAGAGGAUGACCAGCCACACUGGAACUGAGACACGGUCCAGACUCCUACGGGAGGCAGCAGUGGGGAAUAUUGCACAAUGGGCGAAAGCCUGAUGCAGCCAUGCCGCGUGUGUGAAGAAGGUCUUCGGGUUGUAAAGUACUGUCAGCGGGGAGGCGUUACCCGAAGAAUAAGCACCGGCUAACUCCGUGCCAGCCGCCGCGGUAAUUC
rnacentral:rRNA from 1 species